GAUGAACGCUGGCGGCGUGCCUAAUACAUGCAAGUCGAGCGAACAGAUGAGGAGCUUGCUCCUCUGACGUUAGCGGCGGACGGGUGAGUAACACGUGGAUAACCUACCUAUAAGACUGGGGUAACUUCGGGAAACCGGAGCUAAUACCGGAUAAUAUAUUGAACCGCAUGGUUCAAUAGUGAAAGACGGUUUUGCUGUCACUUAUAGAUGGAUCCGCGCCGCAUUAGCUAGUUGGUAAGGUAACGGCUUACCAAGGCAACGAUGCGUAGCCGACCUGAGAGGGUGAUCGGCCACACUGGAACUGAGACACGGUCCAGACUCCUACGGGAGGCAGCAGUAGGGAAUCUUCCGCAAAGGGCGAAAGCCUGACGGGGCAACGCCGCGUGAGUGAUGAAGGUCUUCGGAUCGUAAAACUCUGUUAUUAGGGAAGAACAAAUGUGUAAGUAACUAUGCACGUCUUGACGGUACCUAAUCAGAAAGCCACGGCUAACUACGUG
rnacentral:rRNA from 1 species